CAGCAGCCACGGUAAUACGUAGGUCCCGAGCGUUGUCCGGAUCUAUUGGGCGUAAAGCGAGCGCAGGCGGUUAGAUAAGUCUGAAGUUAAAGGCUGUGGCUUAACCAUAGUACGCUAUGGAAACUGUUUAACUUGAGUGCAAGAGGGGAGAGUGGAAUUCCAUGUGUAGCGGUGAAAUGCGUAGAUAUAUGGAGGAACACCGGUGGCGAAGGCGACUCUCUGGUCUAUAACUGACGCUGAGGAGCGAAAGCGUGGGGAGCGAACAGGAUUAGAGACCCCCGUAGUCCCUGUCUCUUAUACA
rnacentral:rRNA from 1 species